GACGAACGCUGGCGGCGUGCUUAUCACAUGCAAGUCGAACGGAAAGGCCUCUUUCGGGGGGUACUCGAGUGGCGAACGGGUGAGUAACACGUGAGUAACCUGCCCUUGACUUUGGGAUAACUUCAGGAAACUGGGGCUAAUACCGGAUAGGAGCUCCUGCUGCAUGGUGGGGGUUGGAAAGUUUCGGCGGUUGGGGAUGGACUCGCGGCUUAUCAGCUUGUUGGUGGGGUAGUGGCUUACCAAGGCUUUGACGGGUAGCCGGCCUGAGAGGGUGACCGGCCACAUUGGGACUGAGAUACGGCCCAGACUCCUACGGGAGGCAGCAGUGGGGAAUAUUGCACAAUGGGUGGAAGCCUGAUGCAGCAACGCCGUGUGCGGGAUGACGGCCUUCGGGUUGUAAACCGCUUUCGCUCAUGACGAAGCUUUGUGUGACGGUAGUGGGUAAAGAAGCACCGGCUAACUACGUG
rnacentral:rRNA from 1 species